ensembl:lncRNA
UGUUUUCUAACUGUGCAUCCAGGCCUAGGGUAGUUGUAUGGGCUGGUGCUGGUAUUGUCCUGAGCAAAGGAAUUGUUUCCUAAUCCAUCUGAUUUGUCUUCUAGUCACCAAGAUGUUUUCUGGGGUAUUUUCAUGUCACUAAUGGGGACAGAUGGUGGAUUCAUAACCUUGCUACUACUAACAGAUUUAAGAAUCUGAAGAAACUUAGACAUGGAGCUACCAGACUGAGAUAAACACAAUACCUGAGGAUGGUCUUUGCUAGUCUUGCCAAGAGCUGUCAGCCCAAACACCUUUAAACUGCCUAAGACCGCACUUUCAAAGAUACUAGUCACUGAGAUCCCACCAAUCUACUCUGUAAACUCUUCAACAAUUUCAGACACACUUCUGGAUCGAACUUGGGACCUUGUGCUUGCGAGGCAGCCAGUGUCACCACUAAGCCAAAUCCUUGGCCCCUCAUACUGCACUGUAAAAGCAGCUUUACACAGUUCUUUAAG